GAAUGAGAUGAUGAUUAGAAUUGUUUCCCUAUUGGUUUGAGUGCCAGAAUGAUGGUAUCCGUUUGUAUUAGCUCUAGCUGAUCAUUC